GGGACAUAAAAAAUAAUACUUCUAAUAAAUAGUACAAUAUUGCUCCAGGGAAAACUAAUGCUGAAUUUGAUGAUGAAGUGUUACAGACUGGUGACUUUCUGGAUAAAAACUUAAUUGAAGCCAAUCCUUUGAACCAGCUCUGGGAGAAAAUAAAAACAAAAUGAAGGAUUACAGUAAUGGAAGAGAGAAGUUGAACUGGAAUGCAAUAACAGACUAUUAUAAAGGCAUUAGUGGUACCCAGUGAAUCUCUGUCAGGAAGAGCUCUACACUGCAGAGUCUCAGCUCCAAGAACAAAGCCAGUGAAGGAACAGGGGAUGCAUCCUUCACCAAGUCAGAGCCUUUCACUUCAGUUGUAUUCCAGAUUAGAACUAUUCAAAUCCUUUGUUAUAUCUCACCACAAAAUCAACAGAGGUGGUGACAAUUGCUCUGCACUUCCAGGACCUCCUGGUUGUCAUGCUAGGGAUUAUAUAUGUUUAACAUUCCAAACAGCAAACUCAGACAGGCUUACUUUAAACAGUUGCUCAUCACUAGGGAAUCAGAUUAAAUGCGGAUUACAUCAUUGUUGCAGGGGCAUUCAUUCUAGAACACUCUCAUCUCUACAGCAUGUCAGCUUUAUUUCUGUGAACAAAAUGGAUGUCUUCAAAUUCCACAGAGAAUCAGAUUUGACACUGGCAACAGAUGAAAUAACAUGAAAUUCCAGGAGGAAGAGCCUCUUUCUUUGAUCUUUCAUAUGGUGACAUCAUCUUAAUGUUAAAACCUAUGAGUGGAUGUUCUUCAGCAUCUGUAAAUCAAAUUGGCCCUUAGACCCAAUCAAGGAAAGAGUUUUUCUCUGCAUAAAAACAACAUAAGAAAACCACAUCUCUUCACAUUAAGGGCAUCCAUCAGCUCCCAGGUGCAUUGAUGUUGGAAGAUAUUCACAAGGUCAACUGCU